rnacentral:rRNA from 1 species
GACGAACCGUGCGAACGUUAUUCGGAAUCACUGGGCUUAAAGGGCGCGUAGGCGGGCCAUCAAGUCAGGGGUGAAAUCCUCCAGCUCAACUGGAGAACAGCUUUUGAUACUGGUGGCCUCGAGGGGGGUAGGGGCAUGUGGAACUUCCGGUGGAGCGGUGAAAUGCGUAGAUAUCGGGAGGAACACCAGUGGCGAAGGCGACUUCCUGGCCUGUUCUUGACGCUGAGGCGCGAAAGCUAGGGUAGCAAACGGG